AGGACGAACGCUGGCGGCGUGCUUAACACAUGCAAGUCAAGGGGGCCCAGCAAUGGGCAACCGGCGAACGGGUGCGUAACACGUGAGCAACCUACCGAACUGUGGGGGAUAGCCGGCCUAACGGCCGAGUAAUACCGCAUACGCUCUCAGAGAGGCAUUUCUUUGAGAGGAAACCUACGGGACAGAUCGAGGGGCUCGCGGCCUAUCAGCUAGUUGGCGAGGUGACGGCUCACCAAGGCAACGACGGGUAGCUGGU
rnacentral:rRNA from 1 species